rnacentral:misc_RNA from 2 species
ACGAGUUUUUUCAACUCCCUAACCCUUUGUGAACAUACCUAUCGUUGCUUCGGCGGACUCGCCCCGGCGUCCGGACGGCCCUGCGCCGCCCGCGACCCGGACCCAGGCGGCCGCCGGAGACCCACAAAUUCUGUUUCUAUCAGUCUUUCUGAAUCCGCCGCAAGGCAAAACAAAUGAAUCA